rnacentral:rRNA from 1 species
CUAGAGUGAACGCUGGCGGUAGGCCUAACACAUGCAAGUCGAUCGGCAGCACAGGAGAGCUUGCUCUCUGGGUGGCGAGUGGCGGACGGGUGAGGAAUGCAUCGGAAUCUACUCUAUCGUGGGGGAUAACGUAGGGAAACUUACGCUAAUACCGCAUACGACCUACGGGUGAAAGCAGGGGACCUUCGGGCCUUGCGCGAUUGAAUGAGCCGAUGUCGGAUUAGCUAGUUGGCGGGGUAAAAGCCCACCAAGGCGACGAUCCGUAGCUGGUCUGAGAGGAUGAUCAGCCACACUGGAACUGAGACACGGUCCAGACUCCUACGGGAGGCAGCAGUGGGGAAUAUUGGACAAUGGGCGCAAGCCUGAUCCAGCCAUACCGCGUGGGUGAAGAAGGCCUUCGGGUUGUAAAGCCCUUUUGUUGGGAAAGAAAAGCAGUCGGCUAAUACCCGAUUGUUCUGACGGUACCCAAAGAAUAAGCACCGGCUAACUUCGUGCCAGCAGCCGCGGUAAUACGAAGGGUGCAAGCGUUACUCGGAAUUACUGGGCGUAAAGCGUGCGUAGGUGGUUUGUUAAGUCUGCUGUGAAAGCCCUGGGCUCAACCUGGGAAUUGCAGUGGAUACUGGCUGACUAGAAUGUGGCAGAGGGUAGCGGAAUUCCUGGUGUAGCAGUGAAAUGCGUAGAGAUCAGGAGGAACAUCCGUGGCGAAGGCGGCUACCUGGCCUAACAUGACACUGAGGCACGAAAAGAAGG